UGCCAGCCGCCGCGGUAAUACGAAGGUCCCAAGCGUUGUUCGGAAUCACUGGGCGUAAAGCGUAUGUAGGCUGUACGGUAAGUCAGAUGUGAAAGCCCAGGGCUCAACCUUGGAACUGCAUCCGAUACUGCCAUACUUGAGUAGUGGAGGGGUAUAUGGAAUUCACGGUGUAGCAGUGAAAUGCGUAGAUAUCGUGAGGAACACUAGUGGCGAAGGCGAUAUACUGGACACUCACUGACGCUGAGAUACGAAGGCUAGGGUAGCGAAAGGGAUUAGAUA
rnacentral:rRNA from 1 species